rnacentral:rRNA from 1 species
AACGAACGCUGGCGGCAUGCCUAACACAUGCAAGUCGAACGAGGCCUUCGGGUCUAGUGGCGCACGGGUGCGUAACGCGUGGGAACCUGCCCUUAGGUUCGGAAUAACUCCCCGAAAGGGGUGCUAAUACCGGAUAAUGUCUUCGGACCAAAGAUUUAUCGCCUUUGGAUGGGCCCGCGUUGGAUUAGCUAGUUGGUAGGGUAAAAGCCUACCAAGGCGACGAUCCAUAGCUGGUCUGAGAGGAUGAUCAGCCACACUGGGACUGAGACACGGCCCAGAAUCCUACGGGAGGCAGCAGUGGGGAAUAUUGGACAAUGGGCGAAAGCCUGAUCCAGCAAUGCCGCGUGAGUGAUGAAGGCCUUAGGGUUGUAAAGCUCUUUUACCCGGGAUGAUAAUGACAGUACCGGGAGAAUAAGCUCCGGCUAACUCCGUG